rnacentral:rRNA from 1 species
UGGUUCUGCUAUCACUCUUGGAUGGACCUGCGGUGCAUUAGCUAGUUGGUAAGGUAACGGCUUACCAAGGCAAUGAUGCAUAGCCGAGUUGAGAGACUGAUCGGCCACAUUGGGACUGAGACACGGCCCAAACUCCUACGGGAGGCAGCAGUAGGGGAUCUUCCACAAUGGACGAAAGUCUGAUGGAGCAACGCCGCGUGAGUGAAGAAGGGUUUCGGCUCGUAAAGCUCUGUUGGUAGUGAAGAAAGAUAGAGGUAGUAACUGGCCUUUAUUUGACGGUAAUUACUUAGAAAGUCACGGCUAACUACGUGCCAACAGCCGCGGUAAUACGUAGGUGGCAAGCGUUGUCCGGAUUUAUUGGGCGUAAAGCGAGUGCAGGCGGUUCAAUAAGUCUGAUGUGAAAGCCUUCGGCUCAACCGGAGAAUUGCAUCAAAAACUGUUGAACUUGAGUGCAGAAGAGGAGAGUGGAGCUCCAUGUGUAGCGGUGGAAUGCGUAGAUAUAUGGAAGAACACCAGUGGCAAAGGCGGCUCUCUGGUCUGCAACUGA